rnacentral:rRNA from 1 species
CAGUAGCCGCGGGAAUACGUAGGGUGCGAGCGUUGUCCGGAAUUACUGGGCGUAAAGGGCUCGUAGGUGGUUUGUCGCGUCGUCUGUGAAAUUCCGGGGCUUAACUCCGGGCGUGCAGGCGAUACGGGCAUAACUUGAGUACUGUAGGGGGUAACUGGAAUUCCUGGUGUAGCGGUGAAAUGCGCAGAUAUCAGGAGGAACACCGAUGGCGAAGGCAGGUUACUGGGCAGUUACUGACGCUGAGGAGCGAAAGCAUGGGUAGCGAACAGGAUUAGAUACCCGUGUAGUCCCUGUCUCUUAU